rnacentral:tRNA from 1 species
GCCUGGGUGGCUCACCAGUUGAGCGUCUGCCUUCGGCUCAGGUCAUGAUCUCGAGGUUCACGGGUUCGAGCCCCGUGUCGGGCU